GUGCGGCUGGAUCACCUCCUUUCUAAGGAGCACCACGAAAAGCACUCCAAUUGGUGGGGUGCGAGCCGUGAGGGGUUCUCGUCUGUAGUGGAUGGGAGCCGGGUGCACAACAGCAAAUGAUUGCCAGACACACUAUUGGGCCCUGAGACAACACUCGGUCGAUCCGUGUGGAGUCCCUCCAUCUUGGUGGUGGGGUGUGGUGUUUGAGUAUUGGAUAGUGGUUGCGAGCAUA
rnacentral:misc_RNA from 1 species